CCACAACGGACUCCGCAAACACAGACCAAGGUCCCGCAAUGAAUGACGACGACAUGUUCAAAGCCGCCAGGAAAAUGUCCUUGGACACAGGCGGGACGGGCCCGAGCACCCAG